UGAUCCUGGCUCAGAGCGAACGCUGGCGGCAGGCUUAACACAUGCAAGUCGAACGCAUCCUUCGGGUGAGUGGCAGACGGGUGAGUAACACGUGGGAACGUGCCCUCCGGUCUGGGAUAACCCUGGGAAACUAGGGCUAAUACCGGAUACGUGCUUUGGCAGAAAGGUUUACUGCCGGAGGAUCGGCCCGCGUCUGAUUAGCUAGUUGGUGGGGUAACGGCCUACCAAGGCGACGAUCAGUAGCUGGUCUGAGAGGAUGAUCAGCCACACUGGGACUGAGACACGGCCCAGACUCCUACGGGAGGCAGCAGUGGGGAAUAUUGGACAAUGGGCGCAAGCCUGAUCCAGCCAUGCCGCGUGAGUGAUGACGGCCUUAGGGUUGUAAAGCUCUUUUCUCCGGGACGAUAAUGACGGUACCGGAGGAAUAAGCCCCGGCUAACUUCGUGCCAGCAGCCGCGGUAAUACGAAGGGGGCUAGCGUUGCUCGGAAUCACUGGGCGUAAAGGGCGCGUAGGCGGCGUUUUAAGUCGGGGGUGAAAGCCUGUGGCUCAACCACAGAAUGGCCUUCGAUACUGGGACGCUUGAGUCUGGUAGAGGUUGGUGGAACUGCGAGUGUAGAGGUAAAUUCGUAGAUAUUCGCAAGAACACCGGGGCGAAGGCGGCCAACGACCAGUACACAGGCGGAA
rnacentral:rRNA from 1 species